rnacentral:rRNA from 1 species
UUGAACUAAGAGCAUAAGGGGUGGAGCUUUAUGUUCAAUAAUUAAUAAAAGAUGAAUAAGUAAUUAAUUUUUUAUAAAUUAGGCUUUUUAGUGGCCAUAUUUUUAAAGUAUUUUAACUAUUAAAAUAUAUUUUUUUUUAUUUUUAUUCUCUUAUAUUUAUUAGGAUAUAUUUUUUAUUAAAAGUAAAUUAGAAAAAAUGAGAAUAUUAGUAGAGUAUUAAAUAUUAAAGUAAGAAAAUUAAAAUUUAGCAGAUAAUUUUUAAUAUAAAUAUAAAGAAAAAUUAAAGGAAUUCGGCAAAAUUUUUUCUUGCCUGUUUAACAAAAACAUGUCUGUAUGAAGUUAUAUAGAGUCUGACCUGCCCAUUGAAGAAAUUUGAAAGGCCGCGGUAUAUUAACUGUGCAAAGGUAGCAUAAUCAUUAGUCUUUUAAUUGAAGGCUUGUAUGAAGGGUCUGACAAAGAAAAAGCUGUCUUUAAUUUUAUUUUUGAAUUUAACUUUUAAGUGAAAAGGCUUAAAUAAAUUUAAGGGACGAUAAGACCCUAUAAAUCUUUAUAUUAAAUUAUUUUCUUGAAUUUUAAUAGUUUGUCUAGAAUUGUCAAGUAAAACAAUAAAUAUUUUGUUGGGGUGACAAGAAUAUAAAAAUAACUGUUCUUUAAAAAAACAAAGUUGUUUGUAAUAAAAAUUUGUAGAUCCUUUUUUUAAGAUUAAAAGUUUAAGUUACUUUAGGGAUAACAGCGUUAUUUUUUUUGAGAGUUCUUAUCGAAAGAAAAGUUUGCGACCUCGAUGUUGAAUUAAAAUUUCUCUACGGUGUAGAAGUUGUAUGAGAGAGUCUGUUCGACUUUUGAAAUUUU